UUUAAAAAGGGUAAUUUUUUUAUAGCUUGCUAUAAAGAAUAGUUAGUGGCAGACGGGUGAGUAAUGCAUAGGAAUCUACCUAGUAGUAUGGGAUAGCCACUAGAAAUGGUGGGUAAUACUGUAUAAUCCCUGCGGGGGAAAGAUUUAUCGCUAUUAGAUGAGCCUAUGUUAGAUUAGCUAGUUGGUAGGGUAAAGGCCUACCAAGGCGAUGAUCUAUAGCUGGUCUGAGAGGAUGAUCAGCCACACUGGAACUGAGAUACGGUCCAGACUCCUACGGGAGGCAGCAGUGGGGAAUAUUGGACGAUGGGCGCAAGCCUGAUCCAGCUAUGCCGCGUGAGUGAGGAAGGCCUUAGGGUUGUAAAACUCUUUCAGUAGGGAAGAUAAUGACGGUACCUACAGAAGAAGUCCCGGCAAACUCCGUGCCAGCAGCCGCGGUAAUACGGAGGGGGCAAGCGUUGUUCGGA
rnacentral:rRNA from 1 species